CCCGCAGGCGACGGCCUUGUUCCUGGGCCCAUGUUGCUUCAGCUGCGCCUUGAGAGGAUGGGUAGCCUUAGGGGUUGGUUGUUAUCUUUGGUUAUCUAGCUGUAUGAGUGAUGUACAUUCUUCAUAAAGCUAGAUAACCGAAAGUAACAAGAAUCCCAUUACACUCCUGAAAAGGCAUCAAGACCCCAGAAACAGCCUCCCUUCAACACAACAGAAGCUCUGCUCCAAGAACAUGAGAAGAAAAAGGAUGACAUUUGAAAAGGCGUGGGAGCAGAACAAAGCUGCAGGCUAUCUCAAAGACACCACUGAAGGAAAGCUGGCAAAGGCAGACUGAAAACGGAGAAGGAAGAGGAGGGGUUGCUGUUGAUUCUGCCCUCCCUCUCCUCGCCCUCCUCUGCAUCGCCUCUUCGCACCUCCUCCUCCACUCCAUCCUCGGCAGACUGCCCCUUUUUCCUGUACAGCGAGACGCAGCCCGCGCCACCAUCUUAGAGCAACGCUGGCACGAAAUGGAAGUGUGAAGACCAGUGAGCGCAGGUGAAGGGAUCCUAAAUGGACGAAGCCCAUAGCGGAGGGACAGCACAGCCCUCCUUGGGACGACUCAGUGGAGACCAUGUGAAGAUCUGAGCUCAUGUUGGACUGUGACCGAAGGAAACAAUGUUUGGACGAAAAAGCCAGAACAUGUGACUCUAUAAGUUCUGCCCAUGAUUUUAAAUGAUAUGUUCAUGUAGCUUGUUGUGUUAAUAGAUGAAGAUGUGUAACUAACAUAGGUCCUGUUUGACUAGUUGAGCUAUAGCCCACGUUGUUUGGUUUGUGUUUUGUUGUAGUUGCUAUAGGACUCAGACGUGUGAAUGUGAGACCCACGGCAGCAGUGAAUAGAACUGCACUGCGAUUGGACAGCUCCAUGUGUCGCCUGACACAGUGGUGAAGGAGAGAGCUGUCGUCUUUAUACUCUAUGCAACUGUUUGAUCUUUUGUUUUGGUUGUUUUUUCUCACCUUGAAUUCCUCAUGACACUUUACUUUACUGUAGAAUUUUUAGGUCGGUCAGUUUGAAGAAACUCCUCCAGACAUCAGCUCUGCUAGAUCACCGAUGCAGAAAUCACAGCAGCUCAGUUUCAUCUGUGCAUGCACUAAAUCUCAUAUUUGUAGCCUUUGAAUUAAGACACAAUCUCAGUGAAUAUGUAUUCACACAUUGAAUCUUGAAGGAGGAAGUGGCUCCUGGCUGCGUGAACACAAGGCAGCUGAGAGCUCGGCUGCAGCAGUCGGGCUCAUGGCCGCUACCUGCUUCUCCGAUGACACAGCUUUGCUUUGGACAUGACAAAUACAUGGGCUGUAAACGCUGCCUUAAUUUCCUGUUCUUGACAUGAGCACACACACACACACACGCAAUAAGCCAAGCACUACCACAGCUUAAUUCAUUCUAUAUUAAUUUUCGGGAAGUGGCAAAUUUUUUAUUACCAGCGAUAAUCUAUGCAAAUCUUUUAAAUAUGACUUUAAACAAUCUAUGUCUAUGCAGCGCUUUUGCAAUUGAUUCAAGAGAGACUAUCUUGGCCUAAUUUAGAAAAUGUAUUCUUUUGAUAAUCAUGCACAUCCCAGUGCUCAAGACAAUUACUUAUCUGCCUGGAUAAGCUUGAAAUUAUGUUUUUAAUCUCUAGCAAAAAAGUCACUCUUCUGAUAUCAGUCCACAGGCAUGAAAAGCACCAAUUGUGGUCUGAAAUCAUUAAAUGGGUUGCACUAAAUUUCCUUUUUGCUUAAAUGGAUAUCAGACGUAUCUAGUCAGCUGUGCUCUGUGUGCCACAGCCUUUUGUUUUUCAAAUCCAGUCUCUGAAUGAGUGUUCACCACUUGUGCCUUCCUUUGGAAAACUGUUGGGAUACUAAUAAAGGUUUACAUUGAAAACAAUGA